rnacentral:lncRNA from 1 species
CUAUGAAACAAACCUUCAAUAUCAAGGAACAAAAUGGAUUAUUCACCUGACACAGAUAUAGUUAUUUAUCUCUUAGGUUGUAAGUUUAAUUUUUAAAUUGUCAUUUUCUGUGGCAAAUAUUGAUAACACAAAUGACUGCAAACAAAACCAUAAAAUAAUUGAAAUUCUUACACUUUGAGAAAACUGAUAGUUCUCUGUUAAACAAAUUUUCUACAUUUAUUUCUUAGAAAUAUUUCCAAAAUAUUUGUUUUUCAUUUUUUGAUGAAAAGUCAAACCUUCUGGAAAGCAAGAUAUUUGUUCUUAAAUUGUGUAUCUAUCUCUCAAAGCCCAUGUAGUUUUUUAAUUUGAUGAAAGGAAAGAAAGUAGAUUGAAAAAGUUAACAUUUGUUGAUCACUAACAAGAUUGUAGGGGCAUAGGAGCAUAAUUAACCCAAUAAUACUUAAAUAUUUUAGUCAUGGGGGAAAUUGGGGCUGUUUCUGAGUCUUAUUAGGAGAACAUAUUUUUCUCUUUAAUAUGGAGCGGCCCACAUUUUGGAAUCUUCUCAUUUUGAUACACAUUUUUAUAGUUUCAAGAGAAUUCCCUUCAACUAGAUUUGCCUUAUUUUCUUGGAUUAAGUCUACUAGUAAUUUUGUUUUAAGUGAGGGCCAUGACUAUUUUGCUUUUUUUAGUUUUGGAUACAGUGUGGCAUCCUGUGAAAACCAUCUCAUUAGUUUGCUUUUUAUCCUUUGUUUUGCUUUUUAAGUGCAGACCUCAAAUUGAUUUUUGCAUAUAAGUAGUAACUUUUAUGUUUGCAUAUAUGUGAUAGAGCUUUGCCAAUUACC